rnacentral:sRNA from 1 species
AGUGCAGCAGGACCUGCUCAGAGAAGAGGCAGCCAAAGAUGCCUGUCUCAUCCACUUAGGAAUGGUCAGAAAGGCAAUGCAGCAAACAAGGAAGUAUGAAUACACUUUCCAAUUCCUGCAGAACCUUGAAUACUCCACUCAGUCACCAGCUUAACAUCUUCAUGUUCAGGAGGUUGAAUUUCUUCUGCAGAAGAAUACCACUGGUUGGCUGAGGAGAGGAUUCAAUAGAUGUCCCAUUAGUAAUGCACUGAAUUUGAUGUACUGUGAUUCCAAGGCAUUUCAUAAUUCAUUUCGUUUGACCAUCUUUCUCUGUCCAGAACAACAGCAUGAAGUAUUUGCUUUGUUUUCUUUUGUUUUAUUUUUUCAUGACCAUACUGUAUACCUGGUGACAAGCAAUGUGAAAAUUCUGAGAUUUUAUUGAAUAGUAUUUUUAUCCAGCAUGCUAACAAACAUUAGUAAAUAAAAGCAGAAUUUCUGCUGCCAUCAGAUUUCAUACGUGUCUCGUUCUUGAAUUUACUUUCUCUUCAUCGUGUUUUGGAUGCCUUGUGAGAAAUGUCUUCUCAAAUGAUUUAUAUCCUCUAUUGGCUAACAUUUUCAAAAUCUACUUAUCCUUGAGGUUUUUUUG